GACGAACGCUGGCGGCGUGCCUAACACAUGCAAGUCGAGCGGAGUCAGUAAGAGGAAGUUUUCGGAUGGAAUCUUGUUGAUUUAGCGGCGGACGGGUGAGUAACGCGUGAGCGACCAACCUUGCACAGGGGGAUAACGGACCGAAAGGUUCACUAAUACCGCAUGAGACCACGGUGUUGCAUGACACAGGGGUCAAAGGAGGAAUCCGGUGCAAGACGGGCUCGCGUCCGAUUAGGUAGUUGGAGGGGUAACGGCCCACCAAGCCUAUGAUCGGUAGCCGACCUGAGAGGGUGAUCGGCCACAUUGGAACUGAGAUACGGUCCAAACUCCUACGGGAGGCAGCAGUGGGGAAUAUUGGGCAAUGGGGGAAACCCUGACCCAGCAACGCCGCGUGAAGGAAGAAGGUUUUCGGAUUGUAAACUUCUGUCCUUGGUGAAGAGAAGAAGACGGUAGCCAAGGAGGAAGCCCCGGCUAACUACGUG
rnacentral:rRNA from 1 species